rnacentral:rRNA from 1 species
UACGUGGGGGGCAAGCGUUGUCCGGAAUCAUUGGGCGUAAAGCGCGUGUAGGCGGCUCGAUAAGUCUGCUGUAAAAGUCCAGGGCUCAACCCUGGAAAGCCGGUGGAAACUGUCGAGCUAGAGUCCGGAAGAGGCGAGUGGAAUUCCUGGUGUAGCGGUGAAAUGCGCAGAUAUCAGGAGGAACACCAAUGGCGAAGGCAGCUCGCUGGGACGGUACUGACGCUGAGACGCGAAAGCGUGGGGAGCAAACAGG